rnacentral:rRNA from 1 species
GGGGGGGGCCUUAACCAUGCAAGUCGAGCGGGGAAGGUAGCUUGCGUACCUGGCCUAACGGCGGACGGGUGAGUAAUGCUUGUGAGUCUGCCUGUUAGUGGGGGACAACAUUCCGAAGGGAAUGCUAAUACCGCAUACGCCCUACGGGGGAAAGCAGGGGAUCUUCGGACCUUGCGCUAAUAGAUGAGCCUAACUCAAAUUAGCUAGUUGGUGGGGUAAAGGCCUACCAAGGCGACGAUCUGUACCGGGUCUGAGAGGAUGAUCCGCCACACUGGGACUGACACACGGCCCAGACUCCUACGGGAGGCAGCAGUGGGGAAUAUUGAACAAUGGGCGAAAGCCUGAUCCAGCCAUGCCGCGUGUGUGAAGAAGGCCUUUUGGUUGUAAAGCACUUUAAUCGAGGAGGAGGCUACCGAGAUUAAUACUCUUGGAUAGUGGACGUUACUCGCAGAAUAAGCACCGGCUAACUCUGUGCCAGCAGCCGCGGUAAUACAAAGGGUGCGAGCGUUAAUCGGAUUUACUGGGCGUAAAGCGUGCGUAGGCGGCUUUUUAAGUCGGAUGUGAAAUCCCUGAGCUUAACUUACGAAUUGCAUUCUAUACUGGGAAGCUAGAGUAUGGGAGAGGAUGGUAGAAUUCCAGGUGUAGCGGUGAAAUGCGUAUAGAUCUGGAGGAAUACCGAUGGCGAAGGCAGCCAUCUGGCCUAAUACUGACGCUGACGUACGAAAGCAUGGGGAGCAAACAGGAUUAUAUACCCUGGUAGUCCAUGCCGUAAACAAUGUCUACUAUCCGUUGGGGCCUUUGAGGCUUUAGUGGCGCAGCUAACACGAUAAGUAUACAGCCUGGGGGAGUACAGUCGCAAGACUAAAACUCACAAUGAAUUGACAGGGGGCGCCGCACAAACGGUGGAGCAUGUGGGUUUAAUUCUAUGCAACGCGCAAAACCUUACCUGGUCUUCGACAUAGUAACGAAAUUUCCAGAGAUGGAUUGGAUGCCCUUUCUGGGAACUUACAUACAGUGCUGCAAUGGCUGGUCGUCAGCUCGUGUCUGAGAUGUUGGGGUUUAGUCCGCCACGAAGCGCAACCCCUUACCUAUUUGCAGCGGCUUAAGGGGGAACCUUCAGGAUAG